AGCAGUGUGGCCUAGUUGAAAGAGCACGGGCCUGAGAGCCAGAGAGCCUGGGUUCUAAAUCCCAGCUCUGUCA
rnacentral:tRNA from 1 species